CCCAGUCUCAUGUAAAAACGUACCCUGACUACGUUGGUCCAAUUUGCAAAACGUAGAGGGGUUACAAUAAUGGCCCUAGAAUUGUAUGACUGUUACAUUUUUUUUCGCCUAUUCUUUUAAUGGCCCUUGAAUUGUAUGACUCUUACGUUUUUUUUUUCGUCCAAGUCACGUGACUUUCAAGCUACCGGCCGUGAGAACAAAAAACAUGGCGGACAUUCUCUCAUUUUUAGUGGAAAAAUCUAUAUUUUGAGUUAGUUUCUGAAUAAAAAGAAGUUUUGAUUACAUUUCUAGCGAGAAAUAUAUAUUUUAUUUUCAUAAUAUUCACUCAGUGAAUUUACAUAAUCAUCGCUUGCUCGCUUUUACGCAGAUUUUUCAGAUCUCGCCAGAAUAAUGUGAAACUGAUACGUUUUGGUUGCUAUGGACACUGCCAGGGCUCGUCGCAUGACGUCUUUUAAAGACUUUAUUAAAACCGCGUUCAGCUACAGGUAAAACAACAUUCAGAGGUGAUUUUAACAACGCUCCACGGCGCGUGAGCAUUUUAAGCGUUUUCUGAUCAUGUAGGUGUGCCACUGUGGGUGGCUCGCGCACAUCCGUGGCUACGCCCCGCCGUGACCCAAAUCUCGUUCGCACAUCAUCGCGAUGUUUAUCAUCAAUUUACAAACCUCGCCAGUCGCCUCAUCUUUAUUAGCCUAUCCCCUGUAUGUCAUCGAUGCGCUACUUCAAAGAUGUGAGGAAAAGAACUGCGAGUAGUCUGUUACAUUGCCUGUGUUAUUGCCUCACAUUUGCAGAAAUCAGGGGAGGGCAUAUCACACAACAUCUCCUUAGACUUACCAGCAUUUCAUGUUUAUGGACACAAAUUGCCCUGCCAGAUGAAGUACAGUACCAGAUGGCUUGAUGGGUUUGGGCUCACAGACGGGGAAGGAAUGGAAAGGCUGUGGUCUUUCCUCCAAAGAUUUGCCAGAGUCACAAAGGAGAUGACUCCAUCUCAUCGCCUUGACCUACUGACUGAUGCCCUUUUGCAUUAUGGACGGAGGAAAUCAACUGACCUAGGUGCAGCUACUGCAAAGAGUAGACAAAGCAGAGAAAAUAUUGAUUCUUGCUCAGGAAGAUAUCUCAUGUCAUCAGAGAGGCACCAGUGUUGAUUUCUGAAGGAGACAUGGAGAGAUGGAAAAAAGCUAGCCCAACAGAAACCAAUAAACACUGUCUGUAGAUGGAAAAGGGACUACAUCAUCAGACUGAUCCAGUUCUACAAGUUCAAAAUUGAGGACUCUGCUGAACAUUGAGGAAAAAUACCGUAUCGGGAGAAGAUGGCAAGAGUCUGAUUCAAACUUCCAGUCUACCCUUAAAGAUGUGGACCGUGAGCUCAGAGUCCAAAUGCAAGGCUAGAACUGAAUCAAGGGAGAGAGCAGUCCUCCUCCACCUGAGAAGAAUAUAUCCAGCUUUGCUUCAGAUGGGCAGGGCAUUGCCAUUAGAUUCUCCAAGCAGGUAGCCAAUUGAUUUUCAGGAAUCAUGUGAUCCCUCUUGGCAUGUCUACUUCUGUUU